GACAGAGGGUGCAAACGUUGUUCGGAUUUACUGGGCGUAAAGCGCGUGUAGGCGGCUUGGCAAGUCGGAUGUGAAAUCUCGGAGCUCAACUCCGAAAUGGCAUUGGAAACUACCUCGCUAGAGGAUCGGAGGGGAGACUGGAAUUCUCGGUGUAGCAGUGAAAUGCGUAGAUAUCGAGAGGAACACCAGUGGCGAAGGCGAGUCUCUGGAACGCAACUGACGCUGAGACGCGAAAGCGUGGGGAGCAAACAGG
rnacentral:rRNA from 1 species